rnacentral:misc_RNA from 1 species
AAGUCGUAACAAGGUUUCCGUAGGUGAACCUGCGGAAGGAUCAUUAUUGAACGAAACUUCUGGCUGGAUGCUGUUGUGCUGGUCCUUAGGGGCAAUGUGCACACCUCUGGCUGUUUGUUUCUUCUGUUCCACCUGUGCACUGUCUGUAGACACACUGUGUCUAUGAUACACACACACACACACACAUGUUUUGUAUGUUGGCUGGCAGAUUAUAUAUGUAAUAUAUAUAUAUACAACUUUCAACAAUGGAUCUCUUGGCUCUC